AAGUCGUAACAAGGGUUCCGUAGGUGAACCUGCGGAAGGAUCAUUGCGCUAAAGAAUUACAGAUUUUGAUUUUGGGAAGUUCUGUGUGUCCGACGCUGCAAUUGAGCGCUAGAUAAAGCACCCUGGUACCCUAGAGCAAUCCUCUGUCUGAAAGCGGAAGGGAUCAAUGUUCAGGGUGGCGCAGUCAACUAUCUGCUGUACGGCGACCGGGGUGGAGGCGAAAGCCUCUACGUCAUCCCUAUGUCCCUCCGAACCAUAAAUCGAACAACUGUUAACAAUGAAUAUCUUGGUUCUC
rnacentral:misc_RNA from 1 species